AUGGAGCUCCUCCCGCCACUGCCUCAGUCCUUCCUGUUGCUGCUGCUGUUGCCUGCCGAGCCUGCGGCGGGCGAGGACUGGCAGUGCCCGCGCACACCCUACGCGGCCUCUCGCGACUUUGACGUGAAGUACGUGGUGCCCAGCUUCUCCGCCGGAGGCCUGGUACAGGCCAUGGUGACCUACGAGGGCGACAGAAAUGAGAGUGCUGUGUUUGUAGCCAUACGCAAUCGCCUGCAUGUGCUUGGGCCUGACCUGAAGUCUGUCCAGAGCCUGGCCACGGGUCCUGCUGGGGACCCUGGCUGCCAGACGUGUGCAGCCUGUGGCUCAGGCCCCCACGGCCCUCCCGGUGACACAGACACAAAGGUGCUGGUGCUAGAGCCCGCGCUGCCUGCGCUGGUCAGUUGUGGCUCCAGCCUGCAGGGCCGCUGCUUCCUGCAUGACCUAGAGCCCCAAGGGACAGCCGUGCAUCUGGCAGCACCAGCCUGCCUCUUCUCAGCCCACCAUAACCGGCCCGAUGACUGCCCUGACUGUGUGGCCAGCCCAUUGGGCACCCGUGUGACUGUGGUUGAGCAAGGCCAGGCCUCCUAUUUCUACGUGGCAUCCUCACUGGACGCAGCCGUGGCUGCCAGCUUCAGCCCACGCUCAGUGUCUAUCAGGCGUCUCAAGGCUGACGCCUCGGGAUUCGCACCGGGCUUUGUGGCGUUGUCAGUGCUGCCCAAGCAUCUUGUCUCCUACAGUAUUGAAUACGUGCACAGCUUCCACACGGGAGCCUUCGUAUACUUCCUGACUGUACAGCCGGCCAGCGUGACAGAUGCUCCUAGUGCCCUGCACACACGCCUGGCACGGCUUAGCGCCACUGAGCCAGAGUUGGGUGACUAUCGGGAGCUGGUCCUCGACUGCAGAUUUGCUCCAAAACGCAGGCGCCGGGGGGCCCCAGAGGGCGGACAGCCCUACCCUGUGCUGCGGGUGGCCCACUCCGCUCCAGUGGGUGCCCAGCUUGCCACUGAGCUGAGCAUCGCUGAGGGUCAGGAAGUGCUAUUUGGGGUCUUUGUGGCUGGCAAGGAUGGUGGUCCUGGCGUGGGCCCCAACUCUGUCGUCUGUGCCUUCCCCAUUGACCUGCUGGACACACUAAUUGAUGAGGGUGUGGAACGCUGUUGUGAAUCCCCAGUCCAUCCAGGCCUCCGGCGAGGCCUCGACUUCUUCCAGUCGCCGAGUUUUUGCCCCAACCCGGUUUUCCAGGUACCUAUCCGAGGCCCUGGCUGCCGCCACUUCCUCACCUGUGGGCGUUGCCUAAGGGCACAGCGUUUCAUGGGCUGUGGCUGGUGUGGGAACAUGUGUGGCCAGCAGAAGGAGUGUCCUGGCUCCUGGCAACAGGACCACUGCCCACCUAAGCUUACUGAGUUCCACCCCCACAGUGGACCUCUAAGGGGCAGUACAAGGCUGACCCUGUGUGGCUCCAACUUCUACCUGCACCCUUCUGGUCUGGUGCCUGAGGGAACCCAUCAGGUCACUGUGGGCCAAAGUCCCUGCUGGCCACUGCCCAAGGACAGCUCAAAACUCAGGUACAAUCUGGUCCCUCCCCUCCCUUUCCCUGAAGGGGACAACCAAGCAGCUCCUUCCCCAUGA
rnacentral:sRNA from 1 species